rnacentral:rRNA from 1 species
UACAGAGGUCUCAAGCGUUGCUCGGAAUCACUGGGCGUAAAGGGUGCGUAGGCGGGUCUUUAAGUCAGGGGUGAAAUCCUGGAGCUCAACUCCAGAACUGCCUUUGAUACUGAAGAUCUUGAGUUCGGGAGAGGUGAGUGGAACUGCGAGUGUAGAGGUGAAAUUCGUAGAGAUUGGGAAGAACACCGGUGGCGAAGGCGGCCAACUGGACUGGUAUUGACGCUGAGGCGCGAAAGCGUGGGGAGCAAACAGG